GGGGGUAUAGCUCAGUUGGGAGAGCGUCUGCCUUACAAGCAGAAUGUCGGAGGUUCGAGCCCUUCUGCCCCCA
rnacentral:tRNA from 1 species